rnacentral:rRNA from 1 species
GACGAACGCUGGCGGCGUGCUUAACACAUGCAAGUCGAACGGAAAGGCCCUUCGGGGUACUCGAGUGGCGAACGGGUGAGUAACACGUGGGUGAUCUGCCCUGCACUUUGGGAUAAGCCUGGGACACUGGGUCUAAUACCGAAUAGGACCACGCGCUUCAUGGUGUGUGGUGGAAAGCUUUUGCGGUGUGGGAUGGGCCCGCGGCCUAUCAGCUUGUUGGUGGGGUAAUGGCCUACCAAGGCGACGACGGGUAGCCGGCCUGAGAGGGUGACCGGCCACACUGGGACUGAGAUACGGCCCAGACUCCAACGGGAGGCAGCAGUGGGGAAUAGUGCACAAUGGGCGCAAGCCUGAUGCAGCGACGCCGCGUGAGGGAUGACGGCCUUCGGGUUGUAAACCUCUUUCAAUAGGGACGAAGCGCAAGUGACGGUACCUAUAGAAGAAGCACCGGCCAACUACGUG